rnacentral:rRNA from 1 species
UACGUAGGGGGCAAGCGUUGUCCGGAUUCAUUGGGCGUAAAGAGCGUGUAGGCGGCCAGGUAGGUCGGUUGUGAAAACUGGAGGCUCAACCUUCAGAGGUCGACCGAAACCAUUCGCGUCGUAGCGGCGGAGAGGAGAGUGGAAUUCCUGGUGUAGCGGUGAAAUGCGCAGAUAUCAGGAAGAACACCCGUGGCGAAAGCGGCUCUCUGGAACGGUACUGACGCUGAGACGCGAAAGCGUGGGGAGCGAACAGG